UCAGCACUCACCCUCAGCAUUUGCACUCAGACCACAGGAAGGUUUUGCUGUCCCUCUGGGCCUAACCCGGGGAAGACAUUUUCAUGGGUGUGAGGCAAUGGUACUCAUGUCCACAACACACAUUCAUUCAGGGUGUCGUCAGGACGGUCACUUGGGGCUUCCUCAGCCCCCUACAUGGAGGUGUUCCAUACUUUGAAGUGUAACUUUCUGCUGUGGCAUCGAACUGGCCAGGCUAAAUUCUAAGAAAAUCUGGCAUCCCCGGGGAUGUAAUCUUCUCUUGAACUGAGCUUCUGGAAAGGCUCUAGGACCCAGUUUGGACACAAAAAAGCCCCAUUGAACAGAGCUGACCAGCCCAGGAAACAGCUUGAGAGCUGAACCCAACCACAAAGGCGACCCACUGGAAGAGCAAUUUCAAAGGAAGAAAACGAGACUUCCACCCUUCUCUGUUCUUAGCUGCUUCCUGAUGUAGCAAGAUGGAGGAGGCUUGGGGCCACACCACACCCC